UUAAAUUGAAGAGUUUGAUCAUGGCUCAGAUUGAACGCUGGCGGCAGGCCUAACACAUGCAAGUCGAACGGUAACAGGAAU
rnacentral:rRNA from 2 species